GGCAAUGGGGAAUAUUGGGCAAUGGGCGAAAGCCUGAUCCAACAAUGCCCCUUGAGUUAUUAAGGCCUUAGGGUUGUAAAAUUUUUUUACCCGGGAUGAUAAUGACAGUUCCGGGAGAAUAAGCUCCGGCUAACUCCGUGCCAGCAGCCGCGGUAAUACGGAGGGAGCUAGCGUUGUUCGGAAUUAUUGGGGGUAAAGCGCAGGUAGGCGGCUUUUCAAGUCAGGGGUGAAAUCCCGGGGCUCAACCCCGGAACUGCCUUUGAAAAUGGAUGGCUAGAAUUUUGGAGAGGGGAGUGGAAUUUCGAGUGUAGAGGUGAAAUUUGUAGAUAUUUGGAAGAACACCAGUGGGGAAGGCGACUCCCUGGACAAGUAUUGACGGUGAGGUGCGAAAGCGUGGGGAGCAAACCGGAUUAGAUACCCUGGUAGUCCACGCCGUAAACGAUGAUAACUAG
rnacentral:rRNA from 1 species